rnacentral:piRNA from 1 species
UAGACGGACAUCAUUAUUCGCAGAGCCU